UGAACUGGAUGUGGUUUUCUGCCAUCAUCAUCACAACCCGUUUGAGAACCAAGGAUGUUGUCUAUGCAGUCUCCCUCUACCAACCAGACGAUUGGCACCAAAUACACCGCUCCAGACAUCAGGUCAGACGGGGUCAACAGCCGUCUCCUGCAAGUUCAGCCAACAGGGUCAAAGGUCAACACACAAACGCACUAUAUUAGGAGGAUGGAUGGAGGUGAAGCUCAUGGCCUCCUGAACAGAAGAAAGAAAACUGCUCCAUCUUUAAUCUUCUUCUGCUCCUGCUGCUGUGAACACUGACAUGGAGCUGCAGAGAUCAAAACUGAUCAACUGGGAGGAUGAAGAGGAUGAGAAAGAGGAUGAAGAGGAUGAGAAAAUGAUGGUGGUGGAGGACAGAGACUAUGAGUCAUCUGUCUCUGAAGAGAAGCAGGACGCUCGGACCUGCAGAAGAAACGCAGACUCUGAGCCUCCAGUCAACCUCAAGGUCAGAGCAGAACUCCAGGUGUUCAUUAUCUCACCUGAA